UGGGGAAUAUUGGACAAUGCGGGAAACCGUGAUCCAGCAAUGCCGCGUGAGUGAUGAAGGCCUUAGGGUUGUAAAGCUCUUUUACCAGGGAUGAUAAUGACAGUACCUGGAGAAUAAGCUCCGGCUAACUCCGUGCCAGCAGCCGCGGUAAUACGGAGGAUGCAAGCGUUAUCCGGAAUUAUUGGGCGUAAAGCGUCCGCAGGCGGCACUAUAAGUCUGCUGUCAAAGACCGCAGCUCAACUGCGGAAAGGCAGUGGAAACUGUAGAGCUAGAGUACGGUAGGGGUAGAGGGAAUUCCCAGUGUAGCGGUGAAAUGCGUAGAGAUUGGGAAGAACACCAGUGGCGAAAGCGCUCUACUGGGCCGUAACUGACGCUCAGGGACGAAAGCUAGGGGAGCGAAAGGGAUUAGAUACCCCCGUAGUCC
rnacentral:rRNA from 1 species